AGGGGAGUCAGAGAAGAGGUUAGCAGGCAGUUUGCAGCCUCCCUGGCUGCCUUGGGUCCCUUGGAACAUGUGCUGAGUGGCCAUAUACCACCUGGUUCAGGGAGCUGCAGCAUUUACCCCGCCAAGCCCAGCUUUCCCUCCCUGAGGAGUGUGUUUGGGAGGCGAGAACCCACGCGCACUCAGGCACUCACACACCAUCUGACGCGCCAGACCACACAGACUCGCAGCCCAGCCGCAGAUGUGCACCCCAGCACCAGCUCUGGGCUGUGCCUCCUAUACGGGGCCGGGGCUGUGUGGCCUCAGCAUGGCAGGGAACUGGCGCCAACUAUGAAGUAGUCUGGCAGACUGGCCUGGACUCCUGUCCCCAUUUUACAGAUGAGGCAACUGAGACCCAGACGGGCAGGGCCGGCCAGUGUCAGCGUGCUCAGGGAUGCAGAGCUCUCCGCAGCGCCCUGCAUUCUCAGGCCUCUGGGGCAGCGGCGUGGCGAUCGAUGCCCGCGUGGGGAGCUGUCAGGCCGAUUGAAAUGUGGGCUCGGCCUCUCUGCCCGCUGGGCAGAUGCUGGCACCGCCACCCGCGCCUUAAAUAUUCAUUCACUUGACAGAACACUAAUUAAACAAAGUAAGGUGCAUUA